AGCUUUGGAACAAGGGGCUUCCAC
rnacentral:piRNA from 1 species